CAGCAGUAGCCACGGUAAUACAGAGGGUGCGAGCGUUAAUCGGAUUUACUGGGCGUAAAGCGUGCGUAGGCGGCUUUUUAAGUCGGAUGUGAAAUCCCUGAGCUUAACUUAGGAAUUGCAUUCGAUACUGGGAAGCUAGAGUAUGGGAGAGGAUGGUAGAAUUCCAGGUGUAGCGGUGAAAUGCGUAGAGAUCUGGAGGAAUACCGAUGGCGAAGGCAGCCAUCUGGCCUAAUACUGACGCUGAGGUACGAAAGCAUGGGGAGCAAACAGGAUUAGAGACCCCAGUAGUCCCUGUCUCUUAUAC
rnacentral:rRNA from 1 species